CCUACGGGUGGCAGCAGUGGGGAAUAUUGCGCAAUGGGCGAAAGCCUGACGCAGCGACGCCGCGUGAGGGAUGCAGGUCUUCGGAUCGUAAACCUCUGUCAGCAGGGAAGAACGGUCACUGUGCUAAUCAGCAGUGAAUUGACGGUACCUGCAAAGGAAGCACCGGCUAACUCCGUGCCAGCAGCCGCGGUAAUACGGAGGGUGCGAGCGUUAAUCGGAAUUACUGGGCGUAAGGCGCUCGUAGGCGGUAUGUCAAUUCAAGGGUGAAAUCCCCGCGCUCAACGUGGGAACUGCCUUUGAAACUGGAAAACUUGAGUGUGUGGGAGAAUAGUGGAAUUCCAGGUGUAGGAGUGAAAUCCGGAGAUAUCUGGAGGAACAUCAGUGGCGAAGGCGACUAUCUGGCACAUAACUGACGCUGAGGAGCGAAAGCGUGGGUAGCAAACAGGAUUAGAUACCCGAGUAGUC
rnacentral:rRNA from 1 species